rnacentral:rRNA from 1 species
AACGGCCAUACCAUGCUGAAUAUACCGGUUCUCGUUAGAUCACCGAAGUCAAGCAUCAUUGGGCGCGGUCAGUACUUGGGUGGGUGACCACCUGGGAACACCGCGGGC